UGUGCUAUACUAGUAAGGUUGAAUGGCUUAACUUUUCUAAAUAGUUUUACUAUUUAGAAAUUCUUUAACUCAAUCAACCCUUGGUGCUUAGCUUCUUUCACCAAGCAUAUUACAUGCGGAAAACCGCUAAAGGAGAAAACAUG
rnacentral:ncRNA from 2 species